rnacentral:rRNA from 1 species
CUACGGGUGGCAGCGGUGAGGAAUAUUGCACAAUGGGGGGAACCCUGAUGCAGCAACGCCGCGUGGAGGAUGACGCAUUUCGGUGUGUAAACUCCUUUUAUAUGUCAAGAAAAUGACGGUAGCAUAUGAAUAAGCACCGGCUAACUCCGUGCCAGCAGCCGGGGUAAUACGGAGGGUGCAAGCGUUACUCGGAAUCACUGGGCGUAAAGGACGCGUAGGCGGGUUGGAAAGUCAGGUGUGAAAUCCUACAGCUUAACUGUAGAACUGCACUUGAAACUUCUAAUCUAGAGUAUGGGAGGGGGAGAUGGAAUUAGUGGUGUAGGGGUAAAAUCCGUAGAUAUCACUAGGAAUACCUAAAGCGAAGGCGAUCUCCUGGAACAUUACUGACGCUAAGGCGUGAAAGCGUGGGGAGCAAACAGGAUUAGAUACCCUGGUAGUC